GGAAUGGAGGAUGCGUACGAGGAGUCAGGAGAGGCGUUAGCCUCCCCUGCGAUAUUUUUCACCGAAUAUGUUUUAAAAAAAUAUGUUAGAUAUACAUUAUUUUCAAAUAUUAAACCCUAAACUACACUUAAUAUUGUGAAUUGGUGCAAAAAGGAGAAGAGCCUUUGGAGGAUUUUGAACCUCCCGAAUACUCAACCAAACCCCCUAAAAUAAAGCCUUCAUCAAGUAAAUACUAAGUAUACACAAUCAAUAUAAUUGGGGCUUAAGCCAACAUCAAAAGUAUUUGCACUAUUUGUGCUUAUGAAUUUUGCGUAAGGUUUGAUUUUAAUAACCAUUGUCUCCCCUGUUAAGAAGACCUG